GACGAACGCUGGCGGCGUGCUUAACACAUGCAAGUCGAACGGUGACCUCGAGAGCUUGCUCUUGGGUGAUCAGUGGCGAACGGGUGAGUAACACGUGAGUAACCUGCCCCAGACUCUGGAAUAACCCCGGGAAACCGGAGCUAAUACCGGAUACGAGACGGAGCCGCAUGGCUACCGUUUGGAAAGUCUUUCGGUCUGGGAUGGACUCGCGGCCUAUCAGCUAGUUGGAGAGGUAACGGCUCACCAAGGCAUCGACGGGUAGCUGGUCUGAGAGGAUGAUCAGCCACACUGGGACUGAGACACGGCCCAGACUCCUACGGGAGGCAGCAGUGGGGAAUCUUGCACAAUGGGCGAAAGCCUGAUGCAGCGACGCCGCGUGAGGGAUGACGGCCUUCGGGUUGUAAACCUCUUUCAGCAGGGAAGAAGCGAAAGUGACGGUACCUGCAGAAGAAGUCCCGGCUAACUACGUGC
rnacentral:rRNA from 1 species